rnacentral:RNase_P_RNA from 1 species
GAGGAAAGUCCGGUCUCUAUUUAGAUAGCAGUAGUUGUAUAGUAAACAGUAUAAGUAACUAUGAGGAAAGUGCCACAGAAAUAAACCGCCUGUAUAAGGUAAGGAUGCAAAGGUAAGGUAAGAGCUUACCAGAAAUAUUAUUAAGAUAUUUGCUAGGUAAACCCCUAUUUAAGAGCAAAGUGAUCCAAUAUAAGAGUUAAGUGUUAUCUAACAUUUUACAGGUCAUUAUAUUUGUCAUAUUUACUGCAUGAAGUUUUCAAUAAAACUUUAGAUUAAUAACUACCCUUUAAUAUCUAUAUAAAUAAGUAAUAUAUAUUCUUUUUAUUAAAGAACAGAAUCCGGCUUAU